GGGUUGUGAGGUUAAGCGACUAAGCGUACACGGUGGAUGCCCUGGCAGUCAGAGGCGAUGAAGGACGUGCUAAUCUGCGAUAAGCGUCGGUAAGGUGAUAUGAACCGUUAUAACCGGCGAUUUCCGAAUGGGGAAACCCAGUGUGAUUCGUCACACUAUCAUUAACUGAAUCCAUAGGUUAAUGAGGCGAACCGGGGGAACUGAAACAUCUAAGUACCCCGAGGAAAAGAAAUCAACCGAGAUUCCCCCAGUAGCGGCGAGCGAACGGGGAGCAGCCCAGAGCCUGAAUCAGUGUGUGUGUUAGUGGAAGCGUCUGGAAAGGCGCGCGAUACAGGGUGACAGCCCCGUACACAAAAAUGCACAUGCUGUGAGCUCGAUGAGUAGGGCGGGACACGUGGUAUCCUGUCUGAAUAUGGGGGGACCAUCCUCCAAGGCUAAAUACUCCUGACUGACCGAUAGUGAACCAGUACCGUGAGGGAAAGGCGAAAAGAACCCCGGCGAGGGGAGUGAAAAAGAACCUGAAACCGUGUACGUACAAGCAGUGGGAGCCUCUUUAUGGGGUGACUGCGUACCUUUUGUAUAAUGGGUCAGCGACUUAUAUUCUGUAGCAAGGUUAACCGAAUAGGGGAGCCGAAGGGAAACCGAGUCUUAACUGGGCGUUAAGUUGCAGGGUAUAGACCCGAAACCCGGUGAUCUAGCCAUGGGCAGGUUGAAGGUUGGGUAACACUAACUGGAGGACCGAACCGACUAAUGUUGAAAAAUUAGCGGAUGACUUGUGGCUGGGGGUGAAAGGCCAAUCAAACCGGGAGAUAGCUGGUUCUCCCCGAAAGCUAUUUAGGUAGCGCCUCGUGAAUUCAUCUCCGGGGGUAGAGCACUGUUUCGGCAAGGGGGUCAUCCCGACUUACCAACCCGAUGCAAACUGCGAAUACCGGAGAAUGUUAUCACGGGAGACACACGGCGGGUGCUAACGUCCGUCGUGAAGAGGGAAACAACCCAGACCGCCAGCUAAGGUCCCAAAGUCAUGGUUAAGUGGGAAACGAUGUGGGAAGGCCCAGACAGCCAGGAUGUUGGCUUAGAAGCAGCCAUCAUUUAAAGAAAGCGUAAUAGCUCACUGGUCGAGUCGGCCUGCGCGGAAGAUGUAACGGGGCUAAACCAUGCACCGAAGCUGCGGCAGCGACACUUAUGUGUUGUUGGGUAGGGGAGCGUUCUGUAAGCCUGCGAAGGUGUACUGUGAGGUAUGCUGGAGGUAUCAGAAGUGCGAAUGCUGACAUAAGUAACGAUAAAGCGGGUGAAAAGCCCGCUCGCCGGAAGACCAAGGGUUCCUGUCCAACGUUAAUCGGGGCAGGGUGAGUCGACCCCUAAGGCGAGGCCGAAAGGCGUAGUCGAUGGGAAACAGGUUAAUAUUCCUGUACUUGGUGUUACUGCGAAGGGGGGACGGAGAAGGCUAUGUUGGCCGGGCGACGGUUGUCCCGGUUUAAGCGUGUAGGCUGGUUUUCCAGGCAAAUCCGGAAAAUCAAGGCUGAGGCGUGAUGACGAGGCACUACGGUGCUGAAGCAACAAAUGCCCUGCUUCCAGGAAAAGCCUCUAAGCAUCAGGUAACAUCAAAUCGUACCCCAAACCGACACAGGUGGUCAGGUAGAGAAUACCAAGGCGCUUGAGAGAACUCGGGUGAAGGAACUAGGCAAAAUGGUGCCGUAACUUCGGGAGAAGGCACGCUGAUA
rnacentral:rRNA from 1 species